UACGUAGGGGGCCAGCGUUGUUCGGAAUUACUGGGUGUAAAGGGUUCGUAGGCGGUGCGGCAAGUUGGGAGUGAAAUCUCUGGGCUUAACCCAGAGGCUGCUUCCAAAACUGCUGUGCUUGAGUGUGGGAGAGGCGCGUGGAAUUGCAGGUGUAGCGGUGAAAUGCGUAGAUAUCGUAAGGAAGACCAGUGGCGAAGGCGGGUCUCUGGACAGUUCCUGACGCUGAGGCACGAAGGUCAGGGGAGCAAACGGG
rnacentral:rRNA from 1 species